rnacentral:tRNA from 1 species
GGGGCUGUAGCUCGGUGGUAGAGCACUUGCCUUGCAUGUAUGAAGCACUGGGUUCGAUCCUCAGCACCA